rnacentral:rRNA from 1 species
UACGUAGGGGGCAAGCGUUGUCCGGAAUUAUUGGGCGUAAAGCGCGCGCAGGCGGUCCUUUAAGUCUGAUGUGAAAGCCCACGGCUCAACCGUGGAGGGUCAUUGGAAACUGGGGGACUUGAGUGCAGAAGAGGAGAGUGGAAUUCCACGUGUAGCGGUGAAAUGCGCAGAUAUCAGGAGGAACACCAAUAGCGAAGGCAGCUCGCUGGGACGUUACUGACACUAAGGCGCGAAAGCGUGGGGAGCGAACAGG